rnacentral:lncRNA from 1 species
GCAAUUAGGGGCAAAUACAUAAAAAGUUACUAAAUGACAGAAUUUUGAAAUACAUGGUUGCACAAAUAAGGUAAGAAAAUCAAUCAGUAGCCAGUAAAUGAAGGGUCAGAGAUUUUGUAAUUACUGGUCCAUGAACGAACCAAGUCAGAAAAAUUGAGAAAGGCUUUAACUCAAGUCAAGUCACAAAGAAAAUCAGCAAACAAAGAAAGAAAAUCAAUCAUUCCUAUUCAGAAGGAAGUCUGAACUAAUCAC